rnacentral:rRNA from 1 species
AAGCUCGUAGUUGAAUUUCGGGAUCAAAUUGUCGGUCGUGCCUCGGUACGUACUGGCGUUAUUGGUUCCUCCCUUCUGAAGAACCACGAUGUCAUUAAUUUGGUGUCGCGGGGAAUCAGGACUGUUACUUUGAAAAAAUUAGAGUGUUUAAAGCAGGCUCGCGCUUGAAUACAUUAGCAUGGAAUAAUGAAAUAGGACGUUUGAUUCUAUUUUGUUGGUUUCUAGGAUCGACGUAAUGAUUAAUAGGGAUAGUUGGGGGCAUUAGUAUUCAAUUGUCGGAGGUGAAAUUCUUGGAUUUAUUGAAGACCAACUACUGCGAAAGCAUUUGCCAAGGAUGUUUUCAUUAAUCAAGAACGAAAGUUAGGGGAUCGAAGACGAUCAGAUACCGUCGUAGUCUUAACCAUAAACUAUGCCGACUAGGGAUCGGAUGAUGUUAAUUUUUUAAUGACUCAUUCGGCGCCUUACGGGAAACCAAAGUGUUUGGGUUCCGGGGGGAGUAUGGUCGCAAGGCUGAAACUUAAAGGAAUUGACGGAAGGGCACCACCAGGGGUGGAGCCUGCGGCUUAAUUUGACUCAACACGGGGAAACUCACCAGGUCCAGACAUAGUAAGGAUUGACAGAUUGAGAGCUCUUUCUUGAUUCUAUGGGUG